rnacentral:rRNA from 1 species
AUACGGAGGGUGCGAGCGUUAUCCGGAUUUAUUAGGUUUAAAGGGUGUGUAGGCGGGAGCCUAAGUCAGUGGUGAAAUCUCACAGCUUAACUGUGAAACUGCCAUUGAAACUGGGUUUCUUGAGUAUAGUUGAGGUAGGCGGAAUGUGUAAUGUAGCGGUGAAAUGCAUAGAUAUUACACAGAACACCGAUUGCGAAGGCAGCUUACUAAUCUAUUACUGACGCUGAUGCACGAAAGCGUGGGUAGCGAACAGGAUUAGAAACCCGAGUAGUCC